CCUGGGAUUGUGGUUUGUUUCACUUCUAGCAAAUCAGUGUGAAUCCAAGGUUUGUUCUUGGUUUCCCAAUCAUGAUUUGUUUGCUGUGAAAUAAACCAUGACCCCAGG